AGUAGCCGACCUGAGAGGGUGACCGGCCACAUUGGGACUGAGACACGGCCCAAACUCCUACGGGAGGCAGCAGUGGGGAAUCUUGCAUAAUGGGGGAAACCCUGAUGCAGCGACGCCGCAUGAGCGAAGAAGUAUUUCGGUAUGUAAAGCUCUAUCAGCAGGGAAGAAAAUGACGGUACCUACAGAAGAAGCCACGGCUAACUACGUGCCAGCAGCCGCGGUAAU
rnacentral:rRNA from 1 species